rnacentral:rRNA from 1 species
AUGGAGCAGGUGACGAAGCUAGCGGGGCAGCGGGCCGUGGUGAUCUUCGGCAUGAGCUCCUGCUGCAUGUGCCACACGGUGACGAGCCUACUCCGAGAUCUCGGGGCGAACCCGACGGUGGUGGAACUGGACGAGGACCCUUGGGGGAAGGAGAUGGAGAAGGCGCUGGUCCGGCUCCUCGGCCGCAACCCUGCUGUGCCGGCGGUGUUCAUCGGUGGCAGGCUCGUCGGAUGCACCGACAAGGUCAUGUCCCUUCAUCUCGGCGGCAAGCUCGUCCCGCUGCUUCAUAACGCAGCUUGCUGGCUUGGAGGAGGAUGA